CAGUCGCCGCGGUAAUACGUAGGUCCCGAGCGUUGUCCGGAUUUAUUGGGCGUAAAGGGAGCGCAGGCGGCUUAGUAAGUCUGAAGUUAAAGGCAUUGGCUCAACCAAUGUAUGCUUUGGAAACUGUUAGACUUGAGUGCAGAAGGGGAGAGUGGAAUUCCAUGUGUAGCGGUGAAAUGCGUAGAUAUAUGGAGGAACACCGGUGGCGAAAGCGGCUCUCUGGUCUGUCACUGACGCUGAGGCUCGAAAGCGUGGGUAGCGAACAGGAUUAGAUACCCCAGUAGUCCCUGUCUCUUAUACA
rnacentral:rRNA from 1 species